UAGUUUACUUUAUAAAGUAGAAAGUGAAUAAGAUGUCAACAUAAUGGAUUUAUAAAAUAAUGUUUAAAUUCACGACCUAUUCAGCAAAGGUGACUAGAUGAAUUGGACUAUUAGCAGUUUACCACCCUUAAUCGCCGGUUUUGUACUAAAUACCAAACUCCCACGACUCCACGAGACGAUGAGCCCCACCCAAUCCCAAUCCGCUUGUGCAUACAUUGACCCUUAUAAACUCUCUUUUUUUUUUUAAAUUUUUUUUUUCCUUUCUUUUCUUUGUUUAUGUUUUGGAGCUUGGACUGGGCGUUGAUUUCUCACUUAGAAGGUUUCCAUUUUUGGGGGUUUUCUCUUAAUGUCUGACAAGUAGCACAAAGGAGAGCAAGAUCACACUCAAUCGCCCUCAUUACUUAUUGUGGAGUUUGGU